GACGAACGCUGGCGGCGUGCUUAACACAUGCAAGUCAUGGGGACCCGCAAGGGUAACCGGCGAACGGGUGCGUAACACGUGAGCAAUCUGCCUAAGAUGUGGGGGAUAGCCGGCCCAACGGCCGGGUAAUACCGCAUACGCUCUCCUGGUGGCAUCACCGGGUGAGGAAACCCUUCGGGGGCAUCUAGAGGAGCUCGCGGCCUAUCAGCUAGUUGGUGAGGUAAUGGCUCACCC
rnacentral:rRNA from 1 species